rnacentral:rRNA from 1 species
GAUGAACGCUGGCGGCGUGCCUAAUACAUGCAAGUCGAGCGAAUGGAUUAAGAGCUUGCUCUUAUGAAGUUAGCGGCGGACGGGUGAGUAACACGUGGGUAACCUGCCCAUAAGACUGGGAUAACUCCGGGAAACCGGGGCUAAUACCGGAUAACAUUUUGAACCGCAUGGUUCGAAAUUGAAAGGCAGCUUCGGCUGGCACUUCUGGAUGGACUCGCGUCGCAUUAGCUAGUUGGUGAGGUAAAGGCUCACCAAGGCAACGAUGCGUAGCCGACCUGAGAGGGUGAUCGGCCACACUGGGACUGAGACACGGCCCAGACUCAUACGGGAGGCAGCAGUAGGGAAUCUUCCGCAAUGGACGAAAGUCUGACGGAGCAACGCCGCGUGAGUGAUGAAGGCUUUCGGGUCGUAAAACUCUGUUGUUAGGGAAGAACAAGUGCUAGUUGAAUAAGCUGGCACCUUGACGGUACCUAACCAGAAAGCCACGGCUAACUACGUGCCAGCCGCCGCGGUAA